AUUGAACGCUGGCGGCAGGCUUAACACAUGCAAGUCGAGCGGGGUGAUGGUGCUUGCACUAUCACUUAGCGGCGGACGGGUGAGUAAUGCUUAGGAAUCUGCCUAUUAGUGGGGGACAACAUUCCGAAAGGAAUGCUAAUACCGCAUACGCCCUACGGGGGAAAGCAGGGGAUCUUCGGACCUUGCGCUAAUAGAUGAGCCUAAGUCGGAUUAGCUAGUUGGUGGGGUAAAGGCCUACCAAGGCGACGAUCUGUAGCGGGUCUGAGAGGAUGAUCCGCCACACUGGGACUGAGACACGGCCCAGACUCCUACGGGAGGCAGCAGUGGGGAAUAUUGGACAAUGGGCGGAAGCCUGAUCCAGCCAUGCCGCGUGUGUGAAGAAGGCCUUUUGGUUGUAAAGCACUUUAGGCGAGGAGGAGGCUACUUAGAUUAAUACUCUGGGAUAGUGGACGUUACUCGCAGAAUAAGCACCGGCUAACUCUGUGCCAGCCGCCGCCGUAACAC
rnacentral:rRNA from 1 species